UCAUUUUUAUUGGAAAAAAUGUACUUUCCUCUUUCUGUAGGAAUGAAAUUACACUGUGAAGAAACGGAAAAUCCAGAAAAGUUAUUUGGAAAACUAGGCAAAUGAUGAUGGCUCUUCAGGAUGGAUGAACAGAUGAGUGAACACAGGGGCAGCUGUGUAACAACAGAUAAUACAACAUCCCAGCUUCCUUGCAUGAAGUCCCAAUACAACACCCCAACCUCCUAUGGAGUCUCAAUACAACACCCCAGCUUCCUUCCAUUCCAGCUUCCCUCUGUGGAGUCCCAAGCACCAAAGAAGCAACAUUUUGUUACAAUUUCUGUUCUGAUUGUUUGAGGAAAGAAAAAUUUCAUUCUAGAUCCUAAUGUUUUUUUAAAGAAAUUCUUCUGUAAUAAUAACUUCCUUCCUAGACCUGAAAACCAAUUCCUAGAAAGCAGCGAAUCCCACUCAUUUUAUUCACUAAGACUUCCCUAUUGGAAGCCAGAAUUAAAAAAAGACAAACCUCAUGUACUUGGAAGUUGUGAGUCUAUCAAAUAUGACUGAAUGAUUGGACCCUAGAGUUAGGAAGUGAUUUUCAAAGCAUAUCAUUCCUCAUAAACAGUCCCCCAAAUUUUGCUUCAGUGCAUCCAAUGAUUAGAAAUGUAUUAUCUUAUAAGUUAGUAGCCCUCUUUUUUAAAAAGGAAAGUACUAUAUGUAUUUAGAAAAAUAAAAUUACACUUUCAAAUUACAAGCAUUCAGAGUGGUGGGGAUGUGCAAACGGACAUCUUAGCUUUCUCCUCCACAUACUCUGGCCUAUAGGUAACCAUGAUUAUUCUCUCCUUCACCUUUCCCCCUCUUGUUUUUUUUUCUUCUGUCUGGGAUUUUUUUGUAUAACCUUACAUAGUUCCAUAUAAUUUCAGUUUUACACAAUGGAAUUAGACUGUACAUACCAA